rnacentral:rRNA from 1 species
UACAGAGGUCCCGAGCGUUGUUCGGAUUCACUGGGCGUAAAGGGUGCGUAGGUGGUGAGGUAAGUCGGAUGUGAAAUCUCCAGGCUCAACCUGGAAAUGGCAUUGGAAACUACCUUGCUAGAGGGUUUGAGGGGGACUGGAAUACUUGGUGUAGCAGUGAAAUGCGUAGAUAUCAAGUGGAACACCGGUGGCGAAGGCGGCCUGCUGGGCAGUUGCUGACACUGAGGCGCGACAGCGUGGGAGCAAACAGG